ACAAAGUCUUCAAGAAGACUCAUGUGGGCCCCACAUGCCACAUGGCAGCCCAUGAUUGGAGAAAAGGGGUGUGUUGGACCAAUGAAACCUUGACAUGUGUCACCACUUAGAUCUUGACAUUUGUCGCCACUUAGGGCUUGACACGUGUCACCACUUAGGGGAUGACAUGUGUCACCCCUAAAGUAGUAUAUAUAUAUAUAUAUAUAUGAGUCUUAUGACUCAUUAAUUUCCACACCUAUCUAGAAAAUUCAAGACUAACAAAACGAAAUUACAUGAGAAAGAAAGAAGAGAAGAGAAAAGAAAUUAAGGUAGAAAGAAGGAAAGAGCUACGAUUUUGGGAGGAGAAAAAGCCCAAAACGUUACCAAACAGUUCCUAAGUUUCAGCUGCGCUAAAGGAAAUUCCGAGGCAAGUUUUGGCGAAUUUCGGGAAAGGUUCAAGAGACGACGAGGCGAGCAUAGUUAAGAGUAAUCCGUAAGAGGUACGUAAAGCGAACCUUUCUUUCUUUUGGCAUGUCUUUGUCAUAAGUACGUAAAGCGAAC